UGGGGAAUAUUGCACAAUGGGGGAAACCCUGAUGCAGCGACGCCGCGUGAGCGAAGAAGUAUUUCGGUAUGUAAAGCUCUAUCAGCAGGGAAGAAAAUGACGGUACCUGACUAAGAAGCCCCGGCUAACUACGUGCCAGCAGCCGCGGUAAUACGUAGGGGGCAAGCGUUAUCCGGAUUUACUGGGUGUAAAGGGAGCGUAGACGGCUCUGCAAGUCUGGAGUGAAAACCCGGGGCUCAACCCUGGGACUGCUUUGGAAACUGUGGAGCUUGAGUACCGGAGGGGUAAGCGGAAUUCCUAGUGUAGCGGUGAAAUGCGUAGAUAUUAGGAGGAACACCAGUGGCGAAGGCGGCUUACUGGACGGUAACUGACGUUGAGGCUCGAAAGCGUGGGGAGCAAACAGG
rnacentral:rRNA from 1 species